GAUGAACGCUAGCGGCAGGCUUAACACAUGCAAGUCGAGGGGCAGCAUAAUGGAUAGCAAUAUCUAUGGUGGCGACCGGCGCACGGGUGCGUAACGCGUAUGCAACCUACCUUUAACAGGGGGAUAACACUGAGAAAUUGGUACUAAUACCCCAUAAUAUCAUAGAAGGCAUCUUUUAUGGUUGAAAAUUCCGAUGGUUAGAGAUGGGCAUGCGUUGUAUUAGCUAGUUGGUGGGGUAACGGCUCACCAAGGCGACGAUACAUAGGGGGACUGAGAGGUUAACCCCCCACACUGGUACUGAGACACGGACCAGACUCCUACGGGAGGCAGCAGUGAGGAAUAUUGGUCAAUGGACGCAAGUCUGAACCAGCCAUGCCGCGUGCAGGAUGACGGCUCUAUGAGUUGUAAACUGCUUUUGUACGAGGGUAAACGCAGAUACGUGUAUCUGUCUGAAAGUAUCGUACGAAUAAGGAUCGGCUAUU
rnacentral:rRNA from 1 species